UCAUCUCCCACUUUAAUUGGAACGAGUGGGAUCGGCAUCAAUAUAUAGGGUUCAAGUCCUAAUUUUUUCACAAUCCAGAGUAUUCACCUGUUGAGAGAGGCGAUUUCAGGUUGCAAUUAAGUAGGCUGGAAUAUUUGGGAAUGGGGAUUUAAUUUUUGUAUUCAAGUCCAAAGACCUGGCUGAGGAUGAAUGAAGAGGGAUUUGAAGAAUGGGACGCAGAUUUCUUGGACCAACUCAUCCAAGUAGAAGAGCUAGCCCUCACCUCCUCCUCCUCCUCAGCGGCUAACCAAAACCCUAAGCCUUCUCAGCAGUUCGUCCAAGUAGAACAGCAAGAACCGCUUCGUCCUGUGGCGGCUCCUUCCCACUACGAUUCCGUAAUCAGUUACUCCCCUCCGCAUGAGCUCUCUCAGAGGACCUCCCAUGAGGAUCCUUUUACUCGCUUCUCCAAUUCGUCGUCUUCGCUUCUCCGUUCCCUAAACGACAAAGAGCUCGAAAUCGAAAGGUUGAAGAGGGAGCUGGGACAUGCGUCGAAGCAUCUUACAGACCUGGAACAUGAAUGCCUUGAACUAAGGAAGGAAAGAGGCAAAAAUGAGGUGCAGAUUCAAUGUGUAUUUCCCAAGAAUGGAGUAAAAGAUGUUGAUGUCCACUCCUCAAAGAGUACAAACUUUGGCAGGGAAUGUGGAGGUCUUGCUAGGGAUCAUCAUGCAGUUCCACAAAAUUUUCAGAAUUCAAUAUUGUCAAAGGAUCAGGCUGGCUCUUGGGUUGAUAGAGCUAUGCCAACCUAUAAAGCCAUUGGAGUUCAGACGGAGUGUGAUCCUGAUGAUCCACUUGUUUGUCGUACUCUCUCGGAGAAGUUGUUAGCCAUCUGGGGCUCUCCAAACUGCCGAAAUAGCAGAAUAAAUUUGAUUACCAAGUUGCUUGUGAUGUGUCAGACAGAUUUUCAUGUCCUUUUUGGGUUCAUGAGCAUGAACGUUUCAAAAUUGGCAGUGGACUCACUCAAAGAUGGAAGUUCUGAUGUAGCUUUAAAGUUCCAUAUGCACACUUUUCAUACAACAGAAGCUGCAAAAGUGUCUCAUCUCUACUCUGUGUUGACAAAGAUCAGUAAUGGAGGCAUACGGUUGGAGGCUUUGUUUGAACCAUUGCUUGAUCUCUGUACUCUAGAAAAUGUUGUCAUUGUUCAUAGAUCUCUACGUAUAUUGCAUGUCUUUUUGAAGCACCUCUUGAGUUUGGAAAGGAAGUUCGAGAGAAGGGACAAUGUGAUUGUUGAAGGACUUUGCUCUGGGAACAACAUUGUGGAUUCUCAUGGAUUUGAUAGAGGCAUGUGGCGUGUUAGCAGAAAUGAAAUAUUUUAUUCAGACUCCACUCCACUUGGGAAUAUAUUACCUGAUGCCAGAAUUCCAUGCAUGGAGACCUGUAAUCAUGAUACUGCCAUUUCAGUUCCUCAUGUAGACUGGGUUUCUCUAGUUGAAUUUAUGCAUCAAAUUGUCAUGAGGAAUACUGAAGAAUGUGUGAACCUAGAGGCCGUCUCAGUCAUGAAUGUGAUUAUAACAAAGUCUAUUGCUUAUAUUGAGAGGGAAAAGUUUGGCCUAACAAUGGUGUUUGAAAGUCUUUCACAAUUGCUGAGAAAGGAAGCUGGCUUGCGAGUGCAAAAGCAUGCUGUGCAUCUUCUACAUCUGUUGCUAAACUGUCCAAAAAUAUUGGUGACAUUCUGCUCUGGCUGUAAGGAUGGCGAGGGUGCUGCUCCUGUUGAUGGUAAUGUGAGACCUCAGAAAUUCCUUGAGGUUCUUCAGGGCCUGGCAGAUUGUUUAGCGUGCAGUGGAAAUGGAAUACUGGUAUGCAUUCUAUUAAAGAUAUUGCCCUCUUCGUCUUUAUUAUUAUUUUUUUUUUUUUUUGAACUGUGUGAAUUUUGUAUUUUUGGACUGAGCCUUGGAAAUGGUUUUUACUAGUGUCAGCUUGUGAGAAUUUGGUUGUAUGGAGCACUGUUCUGGGAGGGGGCUUUUAUAAGAUUUGACUCCCUAUAUUAGUCUGUGUAAUAACAGUAAUCACACUGAGAAGGCAUACGUUUUGGGAGGGGUAGGUGUUCGGUAGUAGGACAAUGAUUUGUUUUUCCAAUUAUUGUAUAGUGGGGAAGUGAAAGCGUUAGGGGAGUCAACUAUGGAAUGGAGGCAUAGUAUUUAUAGAGAAUGGGUGUUCUAGUAACAAGAAGCUCAGAAUGAAUACAGGAAGUGAAACUACUGUGAAAGUAAAGUAGAGUUUCCUUUAAAAAUUAGUAUGCAUGUGUAGCACAUAAGGUUGCAUUUUUUGCCUCUUGGCUUCGCAUCAAAACAUUAUUAUUGAUUACUUGACAAGGAGAACAAAUAGCCUUGCAAAUUUCAGGAUUACAUACUUUAUUUUAUCAAUAAAACAAGGACUUUAUUGAGAAUAUAAAUAGGCGUAGCCCAAGUACAUGGGACAUAUACAAGAGCGACACCUAAUCAUGAGUGCCCAACGAUACAAGGAAAUCAUGGCUAUUCAAGCCAUUAAAAUCGAUUACAAUUGACUAGUGGAAUAAAAUAUAGAAGUCUAAGCUCGUCCAUUGACUGUUGACGAUCCUCAAAGAUUCUUUCAUUCUGCUCACUCCAAAGACACCACCAUAGACAAAUUGGGACCAUUUUCCACAUUGUUGUGACUUGAGCAUUACCGCGUAGCCCAUUCCAACUUGCUAAGAAGUCAACAACCCUUCUUGGCAUUACCAAAGUUAAUGCUAAGAAGGGUUGUUGGCAUAGUGACAUGGCCACCUCACAAUGAAGUAGAAGGUGAUCAACAAUCUCUUGAUUCUCUUCACUGUUUUGCACAUACAACAUCAAUCCAUAAUAAUAAAAUGGCAUUUUCUUAGAUUGUCUAUAGCGAGGAUUUUCUCCAACGAGGCGGUUGUCCAAGCAGAAAAGCUGCUUUUAGGGGAGCCUAGUCUUCCAAAUGCACUUCCAAGGGAAUGGGCUUGCGUUGUGUGAUGAGAGGUUUUUUUUUUUUUUUUUUGAUGAAUAAAAAUUUUAUUGAGACAAGUAACAAGGCAAAGCCAACUACAUAGGAAGUAUACAAAAACUGAACCUAUUACAUGUCAGGAACUAGAAAAAGAAACA